rnacentral:ribozyme from 1 species
AAAACGAAAAGAAGAAAAAGAAGAAGAAGAAAAAAAAGAAAAAAAAUCAUCUCUUUGUUCUGUUUCCAUGUCUUGAUCUUUCUUCUCUU